CAGUAAAAGGGUUGACAGUACUAAAAAAUAGAGAAUUCCGAGCGAAACUUUCCGACCGAAAAUUAUAGUCGGAAAUUUCCAACGGUUUCGGUCGGAAAAGCAAAAAAAAAAUAUUGUUCAAUUUUUUUAUUAUAAUAUUUCGACCAUAUUCCGACAAUGUUAGUCACAAAGUUUUGGCGCAAAAAAUCGGAAAAGUUGUUUGCGACCGAUUGAGUCGGUGCUUGAAAGUCAAACCAGUUUUAACUUUUCGACUGAAACGAUAGGAAAUUAAUAAAAUAUAUAUAUUUAUUUUUUUAGUUUUUCCAAACGAUUUGGUCGGAAACCAUUUUAAAAUAUCCUGUCAGUAUAUAACCGACCAAAUCGAUCGGAAAAAUAGCGAAAUUUUGAAUUUUAAUUUUUUUACCGACCGAUCCGUCGGAAAUGCUAUUUAUAACCCUGCCCUGACCCCUAUAUUCUUUUUUCUUUCUCUUCUAUUACACUAUUUGGUCACCUCGCCAAUCGUCGUCGCCCACCUUUACUCAAAUUUCUGACGGCAGUGGAGUAAUUCGGCGGUGUGCAUCUUCUCCGGCGAGGUAAGUUCUUCCUUCAUUCCUUCUCCAGCCUUGAAUGUUACUAUAUUUUUUCUUUUUGUUUGUAUUGUAAUUAAAAUUAGUAUUUUUUUUUUAGUUUGAAUAUUGAUAAGAUUAGAAUUGAAAUUAGGGUUGAAAUGAAAGAAUAAGUUAUUCUUUAACCUUGAAUAACUAUGGUUCAGAGCCUUGAGUAACAUGAAAAUUAAGCUUCCUUUGGAUAAAAAAAUUAGAAGUGAAUGAAAUUUGAGAUAGAUUUUUUUUCAAUAGGAGAAAUCUUCAAUUUGUAUUGUAAUUUAUAUAUAUUCUGGAAUUAGAAAUAAAACUAUUCAAUCUUGACUUUAUUUUCACAUUGUAAUUUACAUAUGUUAUUAAAUUAGGAAUAAAUGUUGUUUGAAUUUUGUGUCUUGUGCUUUGAUUUUCUAUUUAAGUUGGGAUAGGAAACAAAGGAAAGAUUUGUGUGCAAGCUUAAAUACUUAACUUUUAAUCAAAAAAAGUAUAACUAUAGUUUAUAUUUUGCAACUAUCGUCCGAAGAUAUGACUUUAAUAUGGAGACAGGCAGCCGGUGGAGUAAAUAAAGGUAUAUCUUUUUUAGUAAUAUUAUUUUGCACAAGUUGUAUGUUUCUUCUCUUGCUCAUUUUACUUUUUUUUGAUUCUCAUGAAAAUAAAUAAAGAUAGAGUCAAACUUGAAGUACAACCAUUGUCCAGUUGUCCAACUGCAUUACUCAGUGGUGCUUCUGCUUCACCUGAAGAAAUUGAGACUAUGCAGACAUAAAUCAAUGAAUUAACACAACAAUGAAACAUUACUCAAGAAAUAAUAAGUAUGAUGCGUAUAUUCAUGGAAAAGCAUGGCAACCAACGUACAAUGGAGGAAUCUAACAAUGGGGAGAUUGAAAUCGACGAGGAGUAGUAAUUUGGAAUGAUCAUGAUAUUUAGACAUGACUACUUUUGACUUGGUUGGUUUUAGACUUGGAUUAUGUGUUUUAGACUUGAAUAUCAUUUGGUUGAAACUUUUAGACUUUAAUAUGUCUUAAUAAAUGCGUUUUACACUUGUUUGAAGGUGUUGUAAUAUUUACUAGUUUAAUAUUUGAUAUUUUAGGUUCAAUUGAUUGAGCAAUUUUGAUAUAUAUUAGGUUGAA